AGAGGAAUAGAGAGCCAAAGAGAGAGAGAGAGAGAGCUCUUUAAAUCCACCUGUUAGCCGGCAUAUAUUCUUGCGCCUUCGGUUUGGGAAGGUGAACUGAUCGCCAGGACCGUGUACCAGGGUUUUAACACAAAAUUCUGCAUUUUUCCAAAGUCGUCACCGAGAACGAUCUGCAUCUUUAAUGGACUAUUAACGCCGACGGCACCGUGAGGGACAAUGUUAAUGCAUCAUUUGCUUAACCUUCCACAAAUGCCUUGAUCUCGCAGGGACUUCGCAACAGUGCCGUAACUCGCGCAAAAUCGGCACAAGACAGGACUUUUUGUUUUUCAUUGGUGAAUAUGGCAAAGCGACUGCACUGAACUGGAGCCGAGGUUUGCAACACACUGUUGCAAAAUUUUUGAAGAAGAACACGAUGCUCUCCCUCUCGCGUGCCCCGUAACUGCUUCCAUUCAUUCAGUCCAGCUUGGCUCGAGCGCCGUCUUCUCUCCUGGAGAUUUUCCUUUCAGUUUCCUCUCAAUUAUGUUCACUUUCGCUGCCUUUUGCUAUAUGCUUUCCCUCGUCCUCUGUGCUUCUCUCAUCUUCUUCGCGAUCUGGCAUAUAACCGCCUUUGAUGAGCUUCAGGCAGACUUCAAGGUGCCGAUCGAUCAGGGAAAUCCACUUCAUGCGCGUGAAAGACUUCGAAAUAUAGAGAGGAUCUGUUGCCUGCUGAGAAAG